AGUGUGGUCCUUGGCCCAUCGGGCCGCCGUCUGUAUAAACAACUGGAGCCACCCCAAAUCAGCUUGUCGGCAUCGUUCUGGUGGACCAAUUUCAUGUGAUCCCAUGAAGGAAACAUCUGCUCACCAAGCUGCCCCCUGGGAUAGAGGCCAGGGUGUCGCCAUAGCCCUGAACUCAUGCUAAUUCAGAGAACAUCAAACACCCUAUACCCUGGCCUGGCAUUUAAAGCAGCAUUUAGGACAAUGAAGGACAAGACAGAACACAGGAGCUGUGCUGUAACUUUAUAUAUGGCAAUAAAUAAGAAACAAAUAUUUGCUGAGAAAUAAAUUGAACGAUGAUGAACAUAAAAGGUGGCUUUGAAAGAAUUAGAAAU